UCAUCAGAAAUAUCAUUAAAACGUUUACACACUGUCAUCGGACUGGACACCCCUUCAAUGGCGUGAAAAUGAAGUCGUCCAAUUUUGCGUCAUCAACUGCGUUGACCCCGUUGUGUGAUUACCUCUGUGUAUUCGGUCAUCAAAAAAGAUUAUGUGUCGGAGAAAACAAACUUCAAAAGGGAUAUUUGUGAUGUGGAAGGGGAAAUGAACGAACACGGAUACAUUUUGUAGCUUUUGGUUCCAAGCCUGUAAACUGAGCCAAGCAAAAUAGAUAUGUGAUGGAGGAGACUGGUGAUUACAAACUAAUCAAAAGAAGAAUAUGUCAUAUCUUGGAUAAAAGUGGUUACCUUCAACAACUAGAUAUAUUGGUCACAGUUAAAUUAAAUAUUGUUGUUGAGAAGAUUUUCCCUAGUCAUCUUAGAGGAACAGAAACAUGUUUGGAUGGAACAUGUGCUUAAAUUUUGCAUAAGUUUUGUUGAAACUUCCAUUUGAUACUGAAGAUGGUUGUUGAAUAUUGUUUGUUAACAAUAUCUAUAUGGCAGUCCGUCGGUAGACCACAUGGUUUCCACUAAUUAUCUUGAAAACUAUUUAUCACAUAGUCUUAAUAUUUCACAUAGUGAUUGGUCAUAACUAGUAGAUGACCCCUAUUGAUUUUGGGUUCACUAGGUCAAAGGUCAAGGUCACAGGAGCCUUAAAUGUCAGAAUGGUUUCCGCUGAUUUUCUUGAAAAUAAUUCAUCACAAAGUCUUCAUAUUUCACAUAUUAAUUGGUCAUAUCUAGUAGAUGACCCCUAUCGUUUUUGGGGUCACUAGGUCAAGGUCACAGGGGCCUUAAAUGUCAAAAUGGUGUCGCUGAUUAUCUUGUAAAGUAUUCAUCACAAAGUCGUCAUACUUCACAUAGUGAUUGGUCGUUAUAGUACAUGACUUAAAUUGAUUUUGAAGUCACUAGGUCAAAGGUCAAGGUCACAGAGGCCUUAAAUGUCAGAAGGGUUUCUGCUGAUUAUCUUGAAAAGAAUUCAUCACAUAGUCUUCAUAUUUCACAUAUUGAUUGGUCAUAACUAGUAGAUGACCCCUAUUGAUUUUUGGGUCAUUACGUCAAAGGGCAAGGUCACAGGGGCCUCAAAUGUCUGAAUGGCUUCUGCUUAUUAUGUUUGUUACAAUUCAUCACAAAGUCUUCAUAUAUCACAUAUUAAUUGGUCGUAACUAUUGAUUUUUGGGUCACUAAGUAAAAUGUCAAGGUCACAGGGGCCUUGAAUGAUUAUAUGAUUUCCACUUGUUAUUAUGGUUACUAUUUAUUACAAAGUCUUCAUAUUUCACAUAUUGAGUCUCUGAUUUUCACGCUCUCGUUAAUCUUCGGCGAUAUCUAUGCCUUAUUGCUUACAUUGCUGACAUUAAUUUUCAUCGGAGUAAUAUUUGUGUAGAAAAGUGUGUUUUGUACUUUUAAAAUAAAUAAUUAUUGCUUCUUAUAUAAGUAGAAAAUGCUUAGUCUUUUUUGUUGAUGUACCUCCGGGAAUUCAAUAAGGCGGUACUAAAUAUUUUUACUCUUGGUUAUAUAGUAGGUGGCCAAACAUUAAGCUAGUAGCAUUUCAUCAAACAUUUAAACAACCCUUGAUUUUCAUGAAACUUUGAAAACUGUUUUGUCUUGUAACAUGUAAGAAAGCCUUUUUUUUAAUUUCAAGUCUGCCAAAUGUUAGUAAAUAUUCUUGUUCUGUUUGAUCAAACCUAGUUAAAUGUUGUAGUUUUUUUUUUUUUUUUUUUUUCAAAAACAUCAUUGCAAGUUUUUCAGUCAAUUUUUAAAGUCUGUAAAAUGCCAUUACAUUUUUAAUUGUAGAAGACUAACUUAUACUGUACAUAUGUUAGAAAAAUUGUAGAUGUGUUAGAAUUAUAUUUAUAUAUCUGUAAAUUUGUUUUAAUGCUUUAGACUGUAAGAAUAUAAUUCUUUUUUCAUUUUGUAAAAUGUUCUCUGCUGUAACAUUUUGAAUGAAAACUUGUAUUUAAAUGCUUCUAUCUAUUGUCAGUAAAUCUUUUUUUCGGGCAUAUUAUGUUAUACCCCAUGGCAUCCUUCUGUCCGUCCGUCCGUUAGCAAUUUGGUUGCCGGAGCAUGACCUAAGUUCCAUUCAGCCCAAAAUAUUCAAACUUCAUAGGAGGAUUGUCCAUAUUGGUUAAAAGACCCCAAUUGAUUUUGGGGUCACAAGGUCAAAGGUCAAGGUCACUAUUACCUAACACUGAAAACAGUUUCCAGAGCAUACCUUAAGUUCCAUUUGGCCCACAAUAAACAAACUUCAUAGGAUGAUUGUCCAUACUGGGUAGAAGACCCCUAUUGAUUUUGGGGUCACAAGGUCAAAGGUUAAUGUCACUAUGACCUUGACACUGAAAACAUUUUCAGAGCAUAACUUAAGUUCCAUUUGGCCCACAAUAACAAACUUCAUAGGAUGAUUGUCCAUAUUGGGUAGAAGACCCCUAUUGAUUUUGGGGUCACAAGGUCAAAGGUCAAGGUCACUAUUAGCUUAACACUGAAAACAGUUUCCAGAGCAUAACUUAAGUUCCAUUUGGCCAACAAUAUUCAAACUUCAUAGGAUGAUUGUCAAUAUUGGGAAGAAGACCCCUAUUGAUUUUGGUGUCACAAGGUCAAAGGUCAAGGUCACUAUUACCUUGACACUGAAUUUUUUUUAGGAGCAUAACUUAAGUUCCAUUUGGCCCACAAUACUCAAACAUAUAGGAUGAUUGUUCAUAUUGAGUAGAAGACCCCUAUUGAUUUUUUGGUCACAAGAAAAGGUCAAGGUCACUAUUACCUUAAAACUGAAAACAGUUUCCAGAGCUUAACUUAUGUUCC